UUGCUUCUCUUGAGAGCGGCGGACGGGUGAGUAAUGCCUAGGAAUCUGCCUGGUAGUGGGGGAUAACGUCCGGAAACGGACGCUAAUACCGCAUACGUCCUACGGGAGAAAGCAGGGGACCUUCGGGCCUUGCGCUAUCAGAUGAGCCUAGGUCGGAUUAGCUAGUUGGUGGGGUAAUGGCUCACCAAGGCGACGAUCCGUAACUGGUCUGAGAGGAUGAUCAGUCACACUGGAACUGAGACACGGUCCAGACUCCUACGGGAGGCAGCAGUGGGGAAUAUUGGACAAUGGGCGAAAGCCUGAUCCAGCCAUGCCGCGUGUGUGAAGAAGGUCUUCGGAUUGUAAAGCACUUUAAGUUGGGAGGAAGGGCAGUAAAUUAAUACUUUGCUGUUUUGACGUUACCGACAGAAUAAGCACCGGCUAACUCUGUGCCAGCAGCCGCGGUAAUACAGAGGGUGCAAGCGUUAAUCGGAAUUACUGGGCGUAAAGCGCGCGUAGGUGGUUCGUUAAGUUGGAUGUGAAAUCCCCGGGCUCAACCUGGGAACUGCAUUCAAAACUGACGAGCUAGAGUAUGGUAGAGGGUGGUGGAAUUUCCCUGUGUAGCGGUGAAAUGCGUAGAUAUAGGAAGGAACACCAGUGGCGAAGGCGACCACCUG
rnacentral:rRNA from 1 species